rnacentral:lncRNA from 1 species
AUAUGUAUGUUGAUUAUACAAUGAGUACAACUAGUAAAUUUCUUGAAUAUUUACAUAUGUUGCUUUAUUUUUCCGAGUACUCAUUUAUUCUUGAAUUUGCACUCGCAAUCUGUUAAAGUAAAUUCUAUUUGAUAUGAUAUACGUUUCUUUGAUGAUUAUGUGAAUAUCUGUUAUGCCUUGAUAUGGGACUUGUCAGUACUCCAUGCUAACGGAGAAUAGUUAGCCUGUGUGCACAUAGUAUUCUGUUACCUAGCUGGUGAGAGAGGCAUCAGCCUGUGGUGAUUGAUCAUCCCACAGUGGUCACCGACGGGUGUCAUCUGGUCACCUUCGGGUGUCAUCUGAUCUCUGACAUGUAAUCCAC